GAUGAAGAACGUAGCGAAAUGCGAUAAGUAAUGUGAAUUGCAGAAUUCAGUGAAUCAUCGAAUGUUUGAACGCACAUUGCGCCCGCCAGUAUUCUGGCGGGCAUGCCUGUUCGAGCGUCAUUUCAACCAUCAAGCCCUGCUUGCGUUGGGGUCCUGCGGCUGCCCGCAGGCCCUGAAAACCAGUGGCGGGCUCGCUAGUCACACCGAGCGCAGUAAUACAUCUCGCUUUGGGCGUGCGGCGGGUUCUUGCCGUUAAACACCCCCUUUUUACCAAGGUUGACCUCGGAUCAGGUAGGAAUACCCGCUGAACUUAAGCAUAUCAAUAAGCGGAGGA
rnacentral:misc_RNA from 1 species